UACGUAGGUGGCAAGCGUUGUCCGGAAUUAUUGGGCGUAAAGCGCGCGCAGGCGGUCCUUUAAGUCUGAUGUGAAAGCCCACGGCUCAACCGUGGAGGGUCAUUGGAAACUGGGGGGACUUAGUACAGAAGAGGAAAGCGGAAUUCCACGUGUAGCGGUGAAAUGCGUAGAGAUGUGGAGGAACACCAGUGGCGAAGGCGGCUUUCUGGUCUGUAACUGACGCUGAGGCGCGAAAGCGUGGGGAGCAAACAGG
rnacentral:rRNA from 1 species